rnacentral:rRNA from 1 species
AAAGAUUAAGCCAUGCAUGUCUCAGUGCAAGCCAAAUUAAGGUGAAACCGCGAAAGGCUCAUUAAAUCAGUUAUGGUUCCUUAGAUGGUACACACAGUUACUUGGAUAACUGUGGUAAUUCUAGAGCUAAUACAUGCAAAUAGAGUCCCGACCGCUAGCCGGAAGGGAUGCUUUUAUUAGAUCAAAACCAAUCAGGCCUCCGUUAAAAGGGGCCUGUUGUGCUUGGUGACUCUGAAUAACUUUGGGCUGAUCGCAUGGUCUUUUGUACCGGCGACGCAUCUUUCAAAUGUCUGACUUAUCAACUUUCGAUGGUAGGCUCUGUGCCUACUAUGGUUGUAACGGGUAACGGGGAAUCAGGGUUCGAUUCCGGAGAGGGAGCCUGAGAAACGGCUACCACAUCCAAGGAAGGCAGCAGGCGCGCAAAUUACCCACUCCCAGAACGGGGAGGUAGUGACGAAAAAUAACGAUGCAGAACUCAUUCCGAGGCUCUGCAAUCGGAAUGAGUACACUCUAAAUCAUUUAACGAGUAUCCAUUGGAGGAAAAGUCUGGUGCCAGCACCCGCGGUAAUUCCAGCUCCAAUAGCGUAUAUUAAAGUUGUUGCGGUUAAAAAGCUCGUAGUUGGAUUUGUGUUCUACGCUGUUGGUUCGCCGUUUUGUCGGUGUAUUAACCGACAUGUCGUGGCACGUCCUGCCGGUUGGUGGCUUAGUUGGCGUGCAGUCGGCAGCUUGCGUUAAGUCGCUCGUAUUCUGUGUGUGUUUUUUCUGCGUACAAAGCCAGUUGAGUGAUAUUAAUGCAAUGUAUUGUGUCUUUACGGGCAUAAUAUGUUCAUUGUAUUAUUUGGCCGGGCGUGUGCGUAGUAUCACAUAUGGAUGCUUGUUGGCUCGCUUGUUUGCUCUGUAUGUUCCGGCUACGGCUGCCAGUGCCAAUCCUGUCGUGGUGCUCUUAAUUGUGGUGCCAAGGCGGGCCGGCACGUUUACCUUGAACAAAUUUGAGUGCUUAAAUCAGGCUAUUAUUGCCAGAAAACUGUGUGCAUGGAAUAAUACAAUAGGACCACGGUUCUAUUUUGUUGGUUUUCAGAAUCCGAGGUAAUGAUUAAUAGGGACAGGCGGGGGCAUUAGUAUUGCGACGUUAGAGGUGAAAUUCUUGGAUCGUCGCAAGACUAACCUAAGCGAAAGCAUUUGCCAAGGAUGCUUCCAUUAAUCAAGAACGAAAGUUAGAGGUUCGAAGGCGAUCAGAUACCGCCCUAGUUCUAACCAUAAACGAUGCCAGCCAGCGAUCCGUCGACGUUCUCUUAUAUGACUCGACGGGCAGCUUCCGAGAAAUCAAAGCCUAUGGGUUCCGGGGGAAGUAUGGUUGCAAAGCUGAAACUUAAAGGAAUUGACGGAAGGGCACCACCAGGAGUGGAGCCUGCGGCUUAAUUUGACUCAACACGGGAAACCUCACCAGGCCCGAACACCGGGUGGAUUGACAGAUUGAGAGCUCUUUCUUGAUUCGGUGGGUGGUGGUGCAUGGCCGUUCUUAGUUGGUGGAGCGAUUUGUCUGGUUAAUUCCGAUAACGAACGAGACUCUAGCCUGUUAACUAGCCGGAAUUUUUCUUCCAGUAUCUUGGCUAUUGGCGAUAAUUUUUCUUCUUAGAGGGACAGGCGGCUUCUAGCCGCACGAGACUGAGCAAUAACAGGUCUGUAAUGCCCUUAGAUGUUCUGGGCCGCACGCGCGCUACACUGAAGGAAUCAACGUGUAAUUAACCCUGAACCGAAAGGUUUGGGUAACCCGUUGAACCUCCUUCGUGCUAGGGAUUGGGGCUUGCAAUUAUUUCCCAUGAACGAGGAAUUCCCAGUAAGCGCGAGUCAUAAGCUCGCGCUGAUUACGUCCCUGCCCUUUGUACACACCGCCCGUCGCUACUACCGAUUGAACGAUUUAGUGAGGUCUUCAGACC